rnacentral:rRNA from 1 species
UACGUAGGGGGCAAGCGUUGUCCGGAUUUAUUGGGCGUAAAGAGCGUGUAGGCGGCUUGGUAGGUCCGCUGUGAAAACUCGAGGCUCAACCUCGAGAUGUCGGCGGAAACCACUUGGCUAGAGUCCGGAAGAGGAGAGUGGAAUUCCUGGUGUAGCGGUGAAAUGCGCAGAUAUCAGGAAGAACACCUAUGGCGAAGGCAGCUCUCUGGGACGGUACUGACACUGAGACGCGAAAGCGUGGGGAGCGAACAGG